rnacentral:rRNA from 1 species
ACCUAGGCGACGAUCCUAGCUGUCUGAGAGGAUGACCAGGCCCACUGGAACUGAGACACGUCCAGACUCCUACGGGAGGCAGCAGUGGGGAAUAUUGCACAAUGGGCAAGCCUGAUGCAGCCAUGCCGCGUGUAUGAAGAAGGCCUUCGGGUUGUAAAGUACUUUCAGCGAGGAGGAAGGCAUUAAGGUUAAUAACCUUGGUGAUUGACGUUACUCGCAGAAGAAGCACCGGCUAACUCCGUGCCAGCAGCCGCGGUAAUACGGAGGGUGCAAGCGUUAAUCGGAAUUACUGGGCGUAAAGCGCACGCAGGCGGUCUGUUAAGUCAGAUGUGAAAUCCCCGGGCUCAACCCGGGAACUGCAUUUGAAACUGGCAGGCUUGAGUCUCGUAGAGGGGGGUAGAAUUCCAGGUGUAGCGGUGAAAUGCGUAGAGAUCUGGAGGAAUACCGGUGGCGAAGGCGGCCCCCUGGACGAAGACUGACGCUCAGGUGCGAAAGCGUGGGGUGCAAACAGGAUUAGAUACCCUGGUAGUCCACGCCGUAAACGAUGUCGACUUGGAGGUUGUGCCCUUGAGGCGUGGCUUCCGGAGCUAACGCGUAAGUCGACCGCCUGGGGAGACGCCG